UGAGUCUACCCUUUAGUUGGGGAAGUAACGCUGGGAAACCGGCGCUAAUACCGCAUAAUCUCGAGAGAGGAAAGCAGCAAUGCGCUGAAGGAGGAGUCCGCGGCCGAUUAGCCAGUUGGCAGGGUAAAAGCCUACCAAGGCAUAGAUCGGUAGCCGGCCUGAGAGGGCACACGGCCACACUGGCACUGAAACACGGGCCAG
rnacentral:rRNA from 1 species